ensembl:lncRNA
CCUCUAUUCUUAAUGAAACCACAAGAAGAUUAUAUCACUUUAUUCCUGGUUUUCCUGUGUGUUCCUGAACCAGCAAUCCAGAUGGAACCAUAUCAAUUCUAAGGUGGCUCAGUGGUAAAAAAUCCACCUGCCAAUGCAAGAGGCACAAAGAUGAGGGAUUGAUCCCUGGGUCAGGAAGAUCCCCUGGAGGAGGAAAUGGCAACCCACGCCAGUAUUUUUGCCUGGAACAUCCUGUGGACAGAGAAGUCUGGUGGGCUACAGUCCCUCGUGUUGCAGAGUCAGACAUGACUAAACACACACACAUGAUAAAUGGAGCCUUUCCUUCCAUACCCCCUCUCCCCACAUCCUUGUACUUAUCUUUAUAC